AAAUGCGGCUAUACCACCUUGCAAAAGCCUGAUCUUGUUUGAUCUUAAAAGUUAUAUGCAAGGUUUGGCCUGGUUAGUGCUUGGAUGGGAGAUCAUUGGGAAUACCAAGUGCCACCAUUG
rnacentral:rRNA from 1 species